UUAUACAAUGUAGAGUUUGAUCCUGGCUCAGGAUGAACGCUAGCUACAGGCUUAACACAUGCAAGUCGUGGGGCAGCAUGGGAGAUGCUUGCACGGGUGAGUAACGCGUAUCCAACCUGCCCUUCACUCCGGCACAGCCCGUCGAAAGACGGAUUAAUGCGGGAUGCAGUCAGAAAGAUGCAUAUUAAUUUGACGAAAGGCUUUAUGCCGGUGAGGGAUGGGGAUGCGUCCGAUUAGCUUGACGGCGGGGUAACGGCCCACCGUGGCGACGAUCGGUAGGGGUUCUGAGAGGAAGGUCCCCCACAUUGGAACUGAGACACGGUCCAAACUCCUACGGGAGGCAGCAGUGAGGAAUAUUGGUCAAUGGGCGAGAGCAGGAAGACGGCCCUAUGGGUUGUAAACUGCUUUUGUGCGGGAAUAAAGGGGGUCACGUGUGGCCCUUUGCAUGUACCGUACGAAUAAGGACCGGCUAAUUCCGUGCCAGCAGCCGCGGUAAUACGGAAGGUCCGGGCGUUAUCCGGAUUUAUUGGGUUUAAAGGGAGCGUAGGCCGUCUCAAAAGCGUGUUGUGAAAUGUCCGGGCUCAACCGGGGCCGUGCAGCGCGAACUGUGAGACUUGAGUGUGCGGAAGGUAUGCGGAAUUCGUGGUGUAGCGGUGAAAUGCAUAGAUAUCACGAAGAACUCCGAUUGCGAAGGCAGCAUGCCGCAGCAUUACUGACGCUGAUGCUCGAAGGUGCGGGUAUCGAACAGGAUUAGAUACCCUGGUAGUCCGCACAGUAAACGAUGGAUGCCCGCUGUGAGCCUGUUUAAUGGUUUGCGGCCAAGCGAAAGCGUUAAGCAUCCCACCUGGGGAGUACGCCGGCAACGGUGAAACUCAAAGGAAUUGACGGGGGCCCGCACAAGCGGAGGAACAUGUGGGAACCUUACCCGGGCUUGAAUUGCAGGUGCAUGGGGUGGAGACAUCCCUUUCCUUCGGGACUCCUGUGAAGGUGCUGCAUGGUUGUCGUCAGCUCGUGCCGUGAGGUGUCGGCUUAAGUGCCAUAACGAGCGCAACCCCUCUCCGUAGUUGCCAUCGGGUUAAGCCGGGCACUCUGCGGACACUGCCUCCGCAAGGAGUGAGGAAGGUGGGGAUGACGUCAAAUCAGCACGGCCCUUACGUCCGGGGCUACACACGUGUUACAAUGGGGCAUACAGAGAGCAGGGUGUACGCAAGUGCGCCCGAAUCAAGAAAGUGCCUCUCAGUUCGGACUGGGGUCUGCAACCCGACCCCACGAAGCUGGAUUCGCUAGUAAUCGCGCAUCAGCCAUGGCGCGGUGAAUACGUUCCCGGGCCUUGUACACACCGCCCGUCAAGCCAUGAAAGCCGGGGGCGCCUGAAGUCCGUGACCGCGAGGGUCGGCCUAGGGUGAAACCGGUGAUUGGGGCUAAGUCGUAACAAGGUAGCCGUACCGGAAGGUGCGGCUGGAACACCUCCUUUCUGGAG
rnacentral:rRNA from 1 species